AGAGAAUUGGCUGAGCGGUUUAAGGCGGUGAGCUUGAAACUCAUUUAGUUAUAAAACUACAUCCGUUCGAAUCGGAUAUUCUCUG